CCUACGGGAGGCAGCAGUGGGGAAUAUUGCACAAUGGGGGAAACCCUGAUGCAGCGACGCCGCGUGAGUGAAGAAGUAAUUCGGUAUGUAAAGCUCUAUCAGCAGGGAAGAAAAUGACGGUACCUGAGUAAGAAGCCCCGGCUAACUACGUGCCAGCAGCCGCGGUAAUACGUAGGGGGCAAGCGUUAUCCGGAUUUACUGGGUGUAAAGGGAGCGUAGACGGCAGUGCAAGUCUGGAGUGAAAGGCGGGGGCUCAACCCGCGGACUGCUCUGGAAACUGUAAGGCUGGAGUGCAGGAGAGGUAAGUGGAAUUCCUAGUGUAGCGGUGAAAUGCGUAGAUAUUAGGAGGAACACCAGUGGCGAAGGCGGCUUACUGGACUGUAACUGACGUUGAGGCUCGAAAGCGUGGGGAGCAAACAGGAUUAGAUACCCUUGUAGUC
rnacentral:rRNA from 1 species